UGGUGAGCGAUAUUUUAACAGCAGGACCUGCCGACCCAGAGCAUGCAGCAAAUAAAACGAAGGAAUUUAUUGAAGUUGUUGGACUUCUUUCUGCACUUUCCGACCACAGAGUGACUGUAAACUGAGAAGAAGUGGUACCAAGGCACAACAGGCCCAAAACACACGGAGCAGGGCGUUUGCCGUUUGAUACCGAGUGCAGUCCAGGAGCAUCGAGUUAGUUGUGGCUCGCCAGCUGGUCAAAUUGCAGCGAUGUUUUGAGUGUCAAAGAGGACCAUCAGGAGGCACAUGAAACAAUGUGGUUUAAGGGGAUUCAUGCAGCGCCAGUUCAGGAUGUGGCUGUGAGGAGUGUCUGCAAACCAACACUCUAUCAAACACACACAGGACCCCACUCUGACACAUUAUUGUCUCUUGGUGAAUGAGUGAACAGCCUCAGACUGUAACCACUAAUCUCCACGGUGCUGCAUGGCCUGUCUGAGCUCUCCAUGGUGGACUGUAGGUUCGGACCUGUGCCAUGAGGUUCACCCGUCAUACCAGUGUCUGUACAAAAAGCUACAUGAUAACUACAAACCAGAAUACAUUGGUCUCCACUUCUCAGCUGUACAUUCAGGAGCUUACCAAUUGUAAAUAAUAAUAAUAA